rnacentral:rRNA from 1 species
GACGAACGCUGGCGGCGUGCUUAACACAUGCAAGUCGAACGGAGUGGCGAACGGGUGAGUAACACGUGGGUGAUCUGCCUUGCACUUCGGGAUAAGCUUGGGAAACUGGGUCUAAUACCGGAUAUUGCAAGAUGAGCUCGCGGCCUAUCUGAUUGUUGGUGGGGUAAUGGCCUACCACGGCGUCGACGGGUAGCCGGCCUGGGAGGGUGUACGGCCACAUGGGUACUGAGAUACGGCCCAGAGGGCUACGGGGGGCAUCAGGGGGGAAGAUGGUGCAAUGGGCGGAAGCCUGAGGCAGCGACGCUGCGUUGGGGAUGAAGGCCUUCGGGUUGUAAACUCCUUUCGACAGGGACGCGGUACCUGUAUAAGAAGCACCGGCUAACUACGGGCCAGCAGCCGCGGUAAUUC